rnacentral:sRNA from 1 species
AGAUACUCCCGGAGCUCCAGCCGCGCGGAUCGCGCGCUCCCGCCGCUCUGCCCCCAAACUUCUGCCGCAGCUCCCUUUCAAGCCAGCGAAUUUAUUCCUUAAAACCAGAAACUGAACCUCGGCACGGGAAAGGAGUCCGCGGAGGAGCAAAACCACAGCAGAGCAAGAAGAGCUUCAGAGAGCAGCCUUUGCGGAGCACCAACUCCGUGUCAGGAGUGCAGAAACCAACAAAGGUGAGAGCUACGUGGAAGAGGAGAUAAUUUUCGACAUCACAGUGAACCAUUCACACUUCUCACUCAAUAUUCAAUAGAUAAGAAAAAAAGCAUCUCAUGGUGUCCAGAAGGAUAUUCUUUUCUGAGCUGUGAAUGCAGUAUUAAGAAUUCAAUCAAAUCUUCAGAAUGUGAAGAGCAACUGCUAAAGAAAAUCAUUUGCCCUGUGCACAGUUAGACCAAAGAGCUGGC